ACGAACGCUGGCGGCGUGCCUAACACAUGCAAGUCAACUUGACUGAAGGAGCAAUCUGACAGUAGAGUGGCGCAAGGGUGCGUAACGCGUAAGUAACUUGCCCCAAGGUAAGGAAUAACGUCGAGAAAUCGGCGCUAAUACCUCAUAAUGCAGCGGAUCCGCAUGGAUAUGUUGUUAAAGGUUUACCGCCUUGGGAUAGGCUUGCGUCUGAUUAGCUAGUUGGUGUGGUAACGGCACACCAAGGCUACGAUCAGUAACUGGUCUGAGAGGAUGAUCAGUCACACUGGAACUGAGACACGGUCCAGACUCCUACGGGAGGCAGCAGUGAGGAAUAUUGGGCAAUGCUCGAAAGAGUGACCCAGCAACGCCGCGUGGAGGAUGAAGGUAUUCUAUAUCGUAAACUCCUGUGAGAGCAGACGAAAGACAGAUUAUUAAUCUGGAUGACUGUAUGCUCAGAAGAAGCCCCGGCUAACUACGUG
rnacentral:rRNA from 1 species